GAUGAACGCUGGCGGCGUGCCUAAUACAUGCAAGUCGAGCGAACGGACGAGAAGCUUGCUUCUCUGAUGUUAGCGGCGGACGGGUGAGUAACACGUGGAUAACCUACCUAUAAGACUGGGAUAACUUCGGGAAACCGUAGCUAAUACCGGCUAAUAUUUUGAACCGCAUGGUUCAAAAGUGAAAGACGGUCUUGCUGUCACUUAUAGAUGGACCCGCGCUGCAUUAGCUAGUUGGUAAGGUAACGGCUUACCAAGGCAACGAUGCAUAGCCGACCUGAGAGGGUGAUCGGCCACACGAGAACUGAGACACGGUCCAGACUCCUACGGGAGGCAGCAGUAGGGAAUCUUCCGCAAUGGGCGAAAGCCCGACGGAGCAACGCCGCGUGAGUGAUGAAGGUCUUCGGAUCGUAAAACUCUGUUAUUAGGGAAGAACAUAUGUGUAAGUAACUGUGCACAUCGUGACGGUACCUAAUCAGAAAGCCACGGCUAACUACGUG
rnacentral:rRNA from 1 species